GUGACAAAAUUGUCUUCCCUGAAAUCGGUCCCUGGUGCCAAAAAGGUUGGGGACUACUGGUAAGGAAACGGUUGCCCUCUAGUGGCUCAUUCUGCACAUUACACUUGGGAAAUGGGCACUAAUGAGAAGCCUAAAGCUCAAAGCUGGCUUCUUAAACUUGCCAUUCAUUUCACGGUGUGCCCGCAUUGUUUACCACCCUGAGCGCAAUUUGAGCCCAGUUUCAAAAUGUUUUCCUCGUUCCCACUGUUAAUAAUGCUCGGGAGUUGGGCUCCUUGGCUGUGGCUUUUACUUAAUCCCAGGAGGUACAUUGUAGUCAAAACAGUUUUUGUGUUUCAGAUCUCAGCCACUGUAUGCACUGAGCUCUGGUAUAACAAGAGUUUAUCCGUGUGGAGUGGCCGAUGCCUACAAAGAAGGGGAGAAAAAGGCCAGAGAUGGUUUUUGUUGACUCAAACCUACCACCUCCUUUCAAUCCAGAGCCAGAGGAAUAAAUAAUUUUUACUAGCGGCAUGAACGUAAAGGAAUACAGUACCAGAUACUCAGGUUUAUCACAUGGACAUUUAAGUCAUUAUGAAAUAUCCGAUUUUGAGUCAAAAGUGUAAUGCAUUAUAUCUCAAACAAGAAGCAGUGCAAUGAAAGUAUUCGUGAGCCUAAACUAUCAACACAGUUUUG